UACGUAGGGUGCGAGCGUUGUCCGGAAUUACUGGGCGUAAAGAGCUCGUAGGUGGUUUGUCGCGUCGUCCGUGAAAACUCACAACUCAAUUGUGGGCGUGCGGGCGAUACGGGCAGACUGGAGUACUGCAGGGGAGACUGGAAUUCCUGGUGUAGCGGUGGAAUGCGCAGAUAUCAGGAGGAACACCGGUGGCGAAGGCGGGUCUCUGGGCAGUAACUGACGCUGAGGAGCGAAAGCGUGGGGAGCGAACAGG
rnacentral:rRNA from 1 species